rnacentral:lncRNA from 1 species
AGUAAGAAAGACAAAGGGAAGAAGAGAAUAAAUGAAUUACUCGAGACACACAAAUCAAUAGGGAGAACAAAUAAGAGAAAUUCUUAACAAACAAGGCUCUGUGAAUGUGUUUAUAAAUUAUCUUCUUAAUAUUGCAAAGAUAAAACUGACCAAGAAUGGGGACAUAAAUUCACUACAAUAAAAUAAGAUAUUAGUGAUAAAAAAAUUCAUCACUAAUAACUGAUUUUCAUCGCUAAUAGUUAUUAGCGAUAAAAAUUUCAUCGCUAAUAUUCAGUCACCAAUAAUACC